AUUGAACGCUGGCGGCAGGCUUAACACAUGCAAGUCGAGCGAGCGGCGGACGGGUGAGUAAUGUCUGGGAAACUGCCUGCUGGAGGGGGAUAACUACUGGAAACGGUAGCUAAUACCGCAUACCAUCAGAUGUGCCCAGAUGGGAUUAGCUAGUAGGUGGGGUAAUGGCUCACCUAGGCGACGAUCCCUAGCUGGUCUGAGAGGAUGACCAGCAAUACUGGAACUGAGACACGGUCCAGACUCCUACGGGAGGCAGCAGUGGGGAAUAUUGCACAAUGGGCGCAAGCCGGAUGCAGCCAUGCCGCGUGUGUGAAGAAGGCCUUCGGGUUGUAAAGUACUUUCAGUCGGGAGGCGUUACCGACAGAAGAAGCGCCGGCUAACUACGUGCCAGCAGCCGCGGUAAUAC
rnacentral:rRNA from 1 species